GACGAACGCUGGCGGCGUGCCUAAUACAUGCAAGUCGAGCGACUCUUGAGGUGCUUGCACCUCUUGGUUAGCGGCGGACGGGUGAGUAACACGUGGGCAACCUGCCUGUAAGACUGGGAUAACUUCGGGAAACCGGAGCUAAUACCGGAUAAUCCUUUUCCUCCCAUGAGGGAAAGUUGAAAGUAGGUUUACGCUGACACUUACAGAUGGGCCCGCGGCGAGUUAGCUAGUUGGUGAGGUAACGGCUCACCAAGGCGACGAUGCGUAGCCGACCUGAGAGGGUGAUCGGCCACACUGGGACUGAGACACGGCCCAGACUCCUACGGGAGGCAGCAGUAGGGAAUCUUCCGCAAUGGACGAAAGUCUGACGGAGCAACGCCGCGUGAGCGAUGAAGGCCUUCGGGUCGUAAAGCUCUGUUGUUAGGGAAGAACAAGUACCGGAGUAACUGCCGGUACCUUGACGGUACCUAACCAGAAAGCCACGGCUAACUACGUGCCAGCAGCCGCAGUAAGAC
rnacentral:rRNA from 1 species